AGAGUUUGAUCAUGGCUCAGGACGAACGCUGGCGGCGCGCCUAACACAUGCAAGUCGAACGGAGUUAAGAGGAGCUUGCUUUUCUUGACUUAGUGGCGAACGGGUGAGUAACGCGUGAGUAACCUGCCUCAGAGUGGGGGACAACAGUUGGAAACGACUGCUAAUACCGCAUAAGACCACGGGGUCGCAUGGCCCUGAGGUAAAAGGAUUUAUUCGCUUUGAGAUGGACUCGCGUCCAAUUAGCUGGUUGGUGAGGUAACGGCCCACCAAGGCGACGAUUGGUAGCCGGACUGAGAGGUUGAACGGCCACAUUGGGACUGAGACACGGCCCAGACUCCUACGGGAGGCAGCAGUGGGGGAUAUUGCACAAUGGGGGAAACCCUGAUGCAGCGACGCCGCGUGGAGGAAGAAGGUUUUCGGAUUGUACACUCCUGUCGUAAGGGACGAUAAUGACGGUACCUUACAAGAAAGCCACGGCUAACUACGUGCCAGCAGCCGCGGUAAAACGUAGGUGGCAAGCGUUGUCCGGAAUUACUGGGUGUAAAGGGAGCGCAGGCGGACCGGCAAGUUGGAAGUGAAAACUAUGGGCCCAACCCAUAAACUGCUUUCAAAACUGCUGGUCUUGAGUAGUGCAGAGGUAGGCGGAAUUCCCGGUGUAGCGGUGGAAUGCGUAGAUAUCGGGAGGAACACCAGUGGCGAAGGCGGCCUACUGGGCACCAACUGACGCUGAGGCUCGAAAGUGUGGGUAGCAAACAGGGUUAGAUACCCUGGUAGUCCACACCGUAAACGAUGAUUACUAGGUGUUGGAGGAUUGACCCCUUCAGUGCCGCAGUUCACACACAUAAGUAAUCCACCUGGGGA
rnacentral:rRNA from 1 species